rnacentral:rRNA from 1 species
GACAUAGGUGGCAAACGUUAUCCGGAAUUAUUGGGCGUAAAGGAUGCGUAGAUGGUCUAGUAAGUUAUCAGUGGUAAAUCGGGGCCUAACCUCGUGGAAGUUGGUAAUACUGUUAGACUUGAGUAUCGGAGAGGUUAACGGAACUCCCUGUGGAGCGGUGAAAUGUGUAGAUAUCGAGAGGAACACCUGCGGCGAAGGCGGGUUGCUGGGCUGACACUGACGCUGAUUGUGCGAAAGCUAGGGGAGCGAACGGG